GGGCCCGCACAAGCGGUGGAGCAUGUGGUUUAAUUCGACGCAACGCGAAGAACCUUACCUGGGCUCGAACGGCCUCUCAACGGCGGUGGAAACAUCGCUAUCCCGCAAGGGAGUGGGGUCGAGGUGCUGCAUGGCUGUCGUCAGCUCGUGUCGUGAGAUGUUGGGUUAAGUCCCGCAACGAGCGCAACCCUUGUCCUGUGUUGCAACCCGAAAGGGGCACUCUCAGGAGACCGCCAGCGAUAAGUUGGAGGAAGGUGGGGAUGACGUCAAGUCAUCAUGGCCUUUAUGUCCAGGGCUACACACGUGCUACAAUGGGCGGUACAAACCGACGCCAACCCGCGAGGGGGAGCAAAUCGGAAAAAACCGCUCUCAGUUCGGAUCGCAGGCUGCAACUCGCCUGCGUGAAGCUGGAAUCGCUAGUAAUGGUAUAUCAGAACGAUACCGUGAAUACGUUCCCGGGCCUU
rnacentral:rRNA from 1 species